UACCCAAGGUUGACCUCGGAUCAGGUAG
rnacentral:rRNA from 4 species